UUUUCAUUUCAUCCAGUUUCAGUUGUGCUAAUCGAACGGUGUAACAACACUACCGAGAGAGUGUACUUAACGUAUGUAUGAUUGUGUGAGACUUAACAAACGAUGCCGCCGACGAAACUUAUGCAAAUUUAAAAACCUACGCAAU